rnacentral:rRNA from 1 species
CGAACGGGUGAGGUAACACGUGGGCAACCUGCCCAAAANAGGGGGAUAACACUUGGAAACAGGUGCUAAUACCGCAUAACCAUAGUUACCGCAUGGUAACUAUGUAAAAGGUGGCUAUGCUACCGCUUUUGGAUGGGCCCGCGACGCAUUAGCUAGUUGGUGGGGUAAAGGCUUACCAAGGCAAUGAUGCGUAGCCGAACUGAGAGGUUGAUCGGCCACAUUGGGACUGAGACACGGCCAAACUCCUACGGAAGGCAGCAG